GCCCCGCCCGCCGCCGCCGGGUCCGCCCCGCGCCCCGCGCCCCGCGCGCGCCCAGCAGGUGAAAGUCCCCGCAGCGCCAAGCCGGGACCGGGGAACUUCGCCCUGGCCCAGCCGCAGGACCGUGGGGAUCCAGGCGCAGUCUGCUCAGCCAGUAGCAGCGAAACGGCAUCGCCUUGCAUGUGUGUGUUUGUUUUGUUUUGUUUGAGGAGCCGGAGAGGAGCGCUGUUUAUUGGGUUUUGUUUUCCCAAGAAGACCGUAGAUCUGUCCCAGAUACCCUGGGUCUGGGCCGCAUUAAUUCGGAGAUCUCCACUUCUCCUUAGAACCAAGGCUAAAGCCAAGUAAGAGGACUGUCCUCUGUGCUUUUUUGUCCCUUUGGGUGUGUAGCUUGCAUUUGGGGACUCAGCAGGGUUUCUUUGGGAAGAAUUUAAAUAUUUAAAAGUCGUCAGCCUUGGAGAACUGGAGUAGGCUGCACUAGGGGCAAGAAAUUGCAAAAUGUUCUUACAUCCUUAAUUAAACUUUUUUUUAAACUGGCUAGUGAUGAGAGAGAGAGAGAGAGAGAGAGAGAGAGAGAGAGAGAGAGAGGAAGAAAGAAAGGAGAGAGGGGGAGGGGAGGGAGGGAGAGAGAGAGAAAGUUUUCAAAAUUCUGUGAGGCCUUUUACAGAUGGGCAAAGGAAGGCGCCAAAGGAGGAUUUCGAGACCAGUGUUUCUAAACUUCAUAGAUAGUGUUGUGUAACAGUUUCCUUUGAGACUGAAACAGUCUGUCGAGCAUCCAGCAGGAAAGGUCUUUAAGCAGGAAGGUAAACAACUCAAACUAGCUUCAGGAAGUCCCUGAAACUGGCCAGAUCCAAGAGGCCCCUCCCUGCCAGAGUAAACAAUAAAAGCAGAGCAUCUCAGGUAACUUGAAGCUGAGCUGCAAAGCAGACUCUCGGAGGAAAUAAACUGCAAAGAUUCGGACCAGACCUAGAAGCAGCAGAAACCAACCAAGCUGUCAGGAAGAGGUGUAGAUCAGAGUCACUUGGAAAGGACACUCUCCAACCUGUUGAGCUGCCUGCAGUGUACUCCAGGUCCCCAGCUUUUGUGAGCUGUCACCCGUGCUGCGCUGGACCUUGAUGAUGCAGCUGUCUUUGAGUCAUUUCUGGUCCUGGUGAGAGUACAGCUGCCCUUAGCUGCUCCCUGUCUGCCUGAAUUCCUGUGAAGAGAUAACAUCUUUCUGGGAUAUCUCCCUAAAUUUAAAAAAAAAAAAAAAAAAAGGCAGCCCAAUGAGUAGGACAGGUUAAUCACAUACAUCAUUCUGCACAGACUUUAUUAUCUUUACAAAUAUUAGUAAGAGCCAAAAAUAAUCUGCACAGAGGAAAUGCACCAGUAACCUUUUUAUAAAUACAAGACCCAAAGCUCUAAUCAGGCGUAUUUGACUCUUUGAAUGUCACGGUGGUUUUAAUAUGCAUCAGAAAUGGGCUUUGUAAAACUCGGCACGGUAACUCAACAACUUAAAGGCAAGAUGUUAAAUAACUAUUUUAUUUACACCUCAUAUUCUAUCCCAAAUUGAUGGUGUUUCCAGACUCUAAGAGGCCUUUUCUUCUAGAUUAACUUUAACCUCACUGGACUGAUGAAUUCAUCAGAACUUCAUAACUAAGAUAUGGCACAAGAAGGUAAGAGGUCUCAAAGAUCAGUCAUCAGGGUCUAAUAGAGAGAAUACUCCAUAGGAGACGCCAAUAUUUAUGGGGCUGGAUAAGAAUAGCAGCUAAUAUCCAUAGUUCUCUGGUGUGUCUCCCACCCAUCUCAGCGUUUUAGCAAUGCCUCAUAUGAUAUAUACAUCAGCCCUAAUGUAGCGGAUUGCAUGAAGAAAGCCAGGAGUACAGAGAGGUUUACACAACUCGCCAAAGUCAUACAUACAAAGGAGAGGCGACAAUCACAUCCGGGUCAACCCUGUUCUGAAGGGUAGAGACUGACCUUGCCGUGCUUUUAUUUACAAAUAAGACACACGGGAAACUAGAGGUUGCUGACUUGUUUCAGCGCAGAUUGUUGCCAGCCUGCAUUCAUUCUGUGUCGGUGAGAUGGAAUGUUCCAAAAAGGGGAGCCUGGGCUGGUUUGGCCCCUGCCUUCUAUCACGUCAGCAGCAGACAGGCGUGCAAACAGCCUUCUUUCGGAAAACAAUGGACAUCCGUGGUGGUGAUUUCCUUCUUUAAUAUUUUUAAAGCGAUACCAAUCCUUUUGUUAACACCUUUAAAUAAAACUAAAUAUUACCUC